UAGUCCUUCGCUAGGAUGUACGGCACGGGAAAGGAUCGCUCCGGCCAGGAAGUUUCUCCACAGGAUUACCCAGUGCAGCAGCAGCGUGCUCAGUCCAAGUCAGAGUAUGUCAUGGAUUCCGCAUCUGUAGAUCGUCCCCAGCAGCAGUUGAGACCGCAAUCCACGCAGGAGUAUGUGCCCUAUGAGUCCUCCGAUUCAUCUGUGGAACGAAAGAAAGAACAGCCAAGAGCUCAGUUAAACACAGAUUUUAACAAUAGCAACACCACUUCGGAUAGUGCCUCCUACGGCUCCGAUUCAGUUUCCAAACAGCAGAUACGAUCUCAGCCGAAUCCAGAGUACCAGAACAAUGCAGGACCUGCCUAUGAGGCACCUAGAGAGGACCGCGGUCAACUGCAGCCACAGAGAUCCCAGCCAGCGGCCGAUUACUCCGCAUAUGAACGGCAGCAACGCCCGCCGCCAACGACAAUAGAUUACACCACCGGCUAUAAUGCACCACCCAAAGAUCGCACCACCCUGUCACGCAGCAACUCGCGACCCACACUCUCACCCAAUCCCAAGCUCCAAAGUAUACCCAAUUCCGAGUAUGUGCGACCCCCACAGAACUUUGUCUUGCCACCGCAGAUGCGUCCCGCCGUGGGGCCACCACAGCCGCGUCCUCCGUUCGCCGGAGCCCGACCUAUGGUCGGAAUGGGACCCCGUCCACCCAUGCCGCCGAACAUGGCGGCCAGGCCACCACCAUUGCGCAGCACAGACAGCAAGAGCAACCUGCUUAUGGGUCCACCGAUGCGACCGGGCAUGCCGCCGCAACUCAAUAUGCAGCAGGCUCGUCUGCCCAAUGCCGGCGGACAGCUUAGUCCACCGGGCCAGGGACCACCAAGGCCACCAGGCGGAUUUCCCUGGAAUCCUGCCGGGGCACCGGGAAUGCCGCCUGGAGCACGUCCGCCCCAGAAUAUGACGCGACCGCCGCCACCCACUUUUGCACGCCCGCCGCCGGGUCAGCCGCUGCAGGCGCCCUUCAAUCGACCGCCCUUCAACCAACCGCCCAUGCAACCGCAACAGCAACAGCAACAACCACCACAACAGCUGCAGCAGCAGCAGCAACACAUGCAACAGCAACAGCAGCAGCAACUACGCCCACUUUCGGCAGCCAGUGCACACAACAACAACGAUGACGACGACGACGUGGUCAUGGGUCCCGCGGUGACCCCGCUCAAGACCUUCAACCCGAGGCCCGAUCCCAUGGGCGAGCCCCUACUGGAGGACAUCGAGCCGCCCUUCCAGACGAGCCCCCCAGCCGGAGAAUCCAAAAAGGGGCCCGGCUUCAAGGGCGACAAUGACAGCGGCGUGGAUGAGUCCACUCAGGAGAAGGAUCGCAACGGACCCAACUCGCCCAGUUCGCCCGUGAAAACGCCCACAUCGACCUCAUCGAAGCCGGACAAGUCGGGCACGUCGCGUCCACCGAGUGCCACGCCCUCGAACAAGUCAGCCCCCAAGUCGCGCAGCGCCUCCAAGAACCGCUUGCUCCUCAAGACCCCAGAGCCCGAGCCAGUCAAGAAAGUUCCAAUGAACAAGGUACAAGUCGGACAUGCGCCUUCACCCAAUCUGAAGGCGGUGCGCUCCAAGAUCGGAUCCCUGGACAAUGCCACCUAUAAGCCGGGUGGCGGCCACGUGAAAAUCGAGUCCAAGAAGAUCGACAUCAAGGCGGCACCGCGCAUCGAGGCCAAGAACGACAAGUACAUGCCAAAGGGCGGCGAAAAGAAGAUAGUUACAACAAAGUUGCAGUGGAACGCCAAGUCCAAAAUCGGUUCGCUGGAGAAUGCCGCCCACAAGCCGGGAGGCGGGGACAAGAAGAUCGAGACCCUGAAGAUGGACUUCAAGGACAAGGCCAAGCCGAAGGUGGGCUCGACGGCCAAUGUGAAGCAUCAGCCGGGUGGCGGAGACAUCAAGGAAUAUAUAUACAAUUUUUAUUAGGCUAGUCAUACGAAAACUAAGUGCAUUAAAUUCGAAAUUCGUACCGAGUUGCGUCCAUUAGAGUUAUUUAUCGCCUAUCGCUACUUUUAACUACCACAUCAUAUAAUCGAGUUAUCCGAAUGCAAUGCGGUUUUAAACAAUAUAGAAACAUUCGAUCCGAUCGAUUCGAUUUGAUCACGCAAAUCCCAGUCCACUACCAUCCAUGACGGCUUCUGGCGCUGAUGAAAAUUUAAAUCAACAAAGCUAAAUGCCGAAAUGCCCGAAAUGCAUGUCGAGCUGUAUCUGAAAAACUGAAUCUGAAACUGACUCUUUCUUUGCAAGCUAAGAUCAAAAGUGAAAUACGAGCAGCUAAUUUGAAACGUACUAUCUAAGCAAAAUCCACACAAUGCAAAACGAGAGUUAUGCGAUAAUUCCCACACACCCAGACAAUUCACAAACCAGUAAUGCGAUCAGAUCAAUUCGAUAGAGGUGCAAGCACGCAAUGAGAUGCAGAUACUCGUACAUCUACACCACCACCCCACAUAGAAGCGGUAUUUGGUAUACAAUCGAAAGUAUAUUUGACUAGUUGAGCAAUGCACUCCUUAUCAUCAGAUAGCAGACAUGAAUUAUAUAUCUCAAUGUAUUACCAGAACUUCAUAUAUACAUACAAAUCUAUAUAUAUAUACAUAUAUAAAUAAAAGUAUCUAAAUAUUUAAGCAAAUUAUACAAGAAUCGUACGAGUAAAGUGUAUGCUUAGUUGAAAAUGUUACCACUUGACGUCUAAAUGUUAAACGACUAAGAUAAUGCAACCAUUUAGAUACUUUUGCGACCAGUGAAAACCAAAACCAAACCCAACAGAACCGAUACGAAACAAAACAAAAAGAACCGAACCGAACAGAAGAGAUAAUACCACGUAUAAGCAUAUUUUUACUAUUAAUUUGUAUCUUAUUAGUCAAGCGCAUCAUUCUCACGAUUUAUUUACACCCUGUUACAAAAUGUAAGAACAAUGGCAAAAUUUAAGCAAAUAAACAAACAAAAAAAACGUUUUUUCAUUUACCAAA